rnacentral:rRNA from 1 species
UACGGAGGGUGCAAGCGUUAUCCGGAUUCACUGGGUUUAAAGGGUGCGUAGGCGGACAGGUAAGUCAGUGGUGAAAUCUCUGGGCUUAACCCAGAAACUGCCGUUGAUACUAUUUGUCUUGAAUAUCCUGGAGGUAGGCGGAAUAUGUCAUGUAGCGGUGAAAUGCUUAGAUAUGACAUAGAACACCGAUAGCGAAGGCAGCUUACUACAGGAUGAUUGACGCUGAGGCACGAAAGCGUGGGGAGCAAACGGG